rnacentral:lncRNA from 10 species
ACUGCGGGAGUGGAGCCGGCGAGAGAGUGGCAGCGGGGGCUGAUGGAAGUGCAGUGGGGGCUGGAGAGGGCACCCUAGUGAGUUGGCUUUUCUCUCCUUCGGUGCCUUUGGUUGGGCUCGAGGCCCGGGGUCGGAGGCCAUCAGGACAAGAGUGUGGGACUUGGAAGGGCAGCCACCUGGAGCUUGGAAGGGGGUUGGGUGGUCCGCGGACCACGCUUUGAGUAGCGAGGCAUUAGAGAACUUUUCCACAGUCCUCUCCGCCCAGACCUGAAUCCUUCUGCUGGAUUCCCCCUCGUGGAGUUAGGGCAUGUGUGUGCAGCUCCACUAAGGCCCAGCAGCCCUAGUGCUGUUUCCACUUCUGCAACUUCACCAGCCUCUUGAACUGACUCUUGGAAGCGGAACAACAGGUUUAAAAGGGGGAGAAAGGAAAUAAAGAAAACAAACCUGUAUCAAUCAGCCGGGAAUGCCCAUGUGCUGCUGUGGCAGCUGUAUCCAGCAUGCUCCAAGGCCACAGCUCUGUGUUCCAGGCCUUGCUGGGGACCUUCUUCACCUGGGGGAUGACAGCAGCUGGGGC